UACGUAGGUGGCAAGCGUUGUCCGGAAUCACUGGGCGUAAGGCGCGCGCAGGCGGCGAUCUACGUCUGGGGUGAAAGCCCGGAGCUCAACUCCGGGACUGCCUUGGAUACGGGAUCGCUUGAGGAUUGGAGAGGCAAGGGGAAUUCCACGUGUAGCGGUGAAAUGCGUAGAUAUGUGGAGGAACACCUGUGGCGAAGGCGCCUUGCUGGCCAAUUUCUGACGCUGAGGCGCGAAAGCGUGGGGAGCAAACAGG
rnacentral:rRNA from 1 species